UCUUGGUAGUGCAGACAAAGAAGCAGCCCAGUAAGUUCUUAGAACCGGAAACUCCCCUCCCCCCAAACACCCAACCGCGCAGCCCACGCUGCAGGGCCACGACUUGGCCGGAUUUAUGUUCAUGGCUGAGAAUGCCAUGGGCCGAGUAAGAAGGAGAACCGCCACCCAACCACGCAGCCAAGAGCAACCCAGGGAUCCCUCCUCUGCUUGCUCCCCUCCCCCACCCCUGCUGUACCUUCUGCGCAGCCACCUCGGUAACGGGCGCCACGGGCGCUCGGCGGCCUGCUGUCCAAGCCGGAGUCAGGAGCCUGGCGGUAGCAAAGAGCAUCACCGAAAGGAAGCUGGUAGGCUAGCGAGGCCAGCCCCAAAGACCCACAGAUACACGCGCUGCUCCGAACUCGCGGGCCCGCGGCGUCCACCAGUGAGACGAACCUGGGCGCGCAGCGGCUGGACCUCAGCUGCUAGGGCGCCGCCAAGGCCCUGCUGGACACCUUGUGGUACCUGGGCCUCGUGUACUACACCUGUGGCUGCCGCCGAGGCGCGGUUCAAUUUGAAGUCUGAGCCCCUACAGGCCGGUGAAUCCUGGAUUACAACUGCAGUUUGUGCAAGAAGCAGCAGCACCUGCACUUCCACUUAGCAACCUUCCGCUUCACGCUCCUCCAGGGCGCAGAGAGCAUCAAAGCAUUAUCACCGACCCAACACACACCGGCGCUGCGUAGUUUCUGCAGCAGGUGUGGGGUGAAGAGUUGCCACACAGCUGUCUCUGACACCGGGUGUACGGCGUCACCCCUCACUUCGUGGACAAGGGAACAUUUUCCUAAAGUGUGGAACCACUGCCUUACAGGAGUGAUUGGAUCACUGCCAAGGGUGAUUUGGACCUCAGUAUUCUCAGUGGCACCAUGUCCGAGAUGGAGAUUUCACCCCUCAAGUGGUGUUCAGAUCGAAGAAGGGAAACCCCACCUCUCAGCUACACUCAUCUGGAACUUAGUAACAGGUAGCUGGGGGAAGGAUAAGAAAUACUGACAUGUACCCUUCCCAGAAAGAUUGUCCUCUAACUGGGAGUUUUGGAGAGAGGAAGCCCUGUGCUCUUGGCUGCAGCAGUCUGGAGUAUAGUUCCUAUGUUACUGAUCUUUGAAAGGGGAAACAAGGAGCAGGUUUCAGCUUAAACACCACAGACUCACCAUUUUUAUCAAACUCUAGUAGAUUUCCUUGAAUAAAUGCUUCUUCAUUACUUACAUGCCCCCCAAGACCACUUCUAGAGACGUUAAAUGGCUGUUUAUUUUUAGUAUUUUUUACCAUUUUCACUGGGGAGCAGGUCCAUGAAAAUCCUCACACUGCCAUGCGAGGAGUAGAACUCUGAUAGUUCUCUUUUUAAUGAAAUUCAUAUUCUGACUGAAAAAUAACUUACGUAGUUAUAAGGUGACUCAGUCUGGGUUGCUAUAACAAAACACUAUAAAUGAGUAGUGUAUAAGCAAUAUAAAUUUACUUUCACAGUUCUGGAGGCUAGAAGUGUGAGAUCAAGGUGCUAGCAACUUCAGUGUCUGCUGAGAGUCCAAUUUAUGGUUCACAGAUGGCACUUUCUCACUGUGUCCCCCUCACAUGGUGGAAGGGGCUAAGCAGUUCCCUGAGGCCUCAUUUAAAAGGUCACUAAUCUCAAAAUGAGGGCUCUGCCCUCAUGACCUCAUCACCCCAAAGGCUUCACAUCCUAAUACUAUCACAUUAGUGAUUAGGUUUUCAACAUACAAACUUUGGGGGGACACAAACGUCCAGACCAUAGCAUAAAAUAUAAAAGCGAAAGGGAAAACGAGUGAGAGAGAGAAAGCAUACAACACAGAAAAUAAUAAAAAAUAUUUAAAAUGCCACAGUCAACAUUUUAUUAUAUAUAUUUCCAGACUUCUGUCAAUGCAUACACACAGAUUUCUUUACAGAAACAGGAUUAGGUUAUACCUGCUGUUUUUUAAAUUGUUCUUUUCAUUUACAAAAGAAGGUAGAUCUAUUUCAUGUUAAAUAAUAUACGUGCUUCAUCAUUUUUAAUGUCUUCAUAAUAUUCUAUUGCACUGAUGUACUAUGUUUAUUUAACUAGCCCUCUUCUGAUCAACAUUUAGGUUGUUUUAUGCAUUGCAUUAUGACAGUGUGUUUUGAAAAAUAAGCAAGGCAUAAUUUGCUGGGUUUUUUUAUCAUAUGGGUAAAAAUCAGUGGGUAGUCUAUGACCCAAUAAAUGUGCUUAGAUGUUACUGAAUUCUUUAACAUGCUUAGGUAAUAACAAUGUGUUUAAAAGCUGUAAAUAAAUACACUCAAAGUAA